UGGGGAAUAUUGCACAAUGGAGGGAACUCUGAUGCAGCGACGCCGCGUGAACGAAGAAGGCUUUCGAGUCGUAAAGUUCUUUUAUAUGGGAAGAUAAUGACGGUACCAUAAGAAAAAGCCCCGGCUAACUACGUGCCAGCAGCCGCGGUAAUACGUAGGGGGCUAGCGUUGUCCGGAAUCACUGGGCGUAAAGGGUUCGCAGGCGGAAAUGCAAGUCAGGUGUAAAAGGCAGUAGCUUAACUACUGUAAGCAUUUGAAACUGCAUAUCUUGAGAAGAGUAGAGGUAAGUGGAAUUUUUAGUGUAGCGGUGAAAUGCGUAGAUAUUAAAAAGAAUACCGGUGGCGAAGGCGACUUACUGGGCUCAUUCUGACGCUGAGGAACGAAAGCGUGGGUAGCUAACAGG
rnacentral:rRNA from 2 species